rnacentral:lncRNA from 1 species
CCCCCCCCCCCCCCCCCCCGCCGUCUCCCAGUCCAGCCCUCUCUCUUCCUUUCCUUCCCCCCUCCUCUUCGCCCUGCUCGCGGGGCAACACGAGCCAGGCUGGCGGCGGCGGCGGCGGCGGCGAGGGAUGGCCUCGUCUUCCCACCUGGAGAAAGCGGGGAGAAAAACAGCCUCAGAGAGACCCUGUCCCAGUCCGGAGCGGUGCACUGUUUUUUUUUUUCUCAGAAGGAAAACGUGUCCCGAAGGUUCUGAAUUCACGUGUGCUUAAAAAACGAAUCGGUGUCCGCAUUUCAGAAGGACUUCUCUCCGCGUUUAAAGAAAACGUGCUUUACCGGCAAGGGCAGCUAGAGUCACAGGCUGUCUGCUCCUCAAUCUCCAGUCCAUAUCCAGCAAUCACUGAUCUGGUUGAGAGAUGCCAGCUCAGCUAUUGAGCUGCCACUUGCCUCUUGCCAUCCUUGAUCCUGGAAGGUGAGAGUCAUGUGAAGCCCAACGUAUCUUUUUUUGGGGGGGGGCACAUUCCAGUAGUGGUGGUGAGUCUCACUCAUUGCUGGCAUGCAGCCCCCAAGUGCUUGUUUGAAUUCAACUGAAUUUCCAGGACAUAAUAGAUUACCAAACCUUUGCCUUGAUUUAACAGAUUACAAGAACGUAGCAGUAGCUACAGAGUGCUCUGGCUUUGGUCAUUUCACACACACUUUUCAAAUUCUGGAAAUCAUAUUAAGAUAAAAUAAAAAUACAAAACUUACAUUUUUCA